UUCUAUUAGAAAUCAUUAAUAGUAAAAUCUGCUCCAUGUCUAAUAAAUAGCCGCAAUUUGUGCUAAGGUAGCAUAAUCAUUUGUCUUUUAAAUGAAGACUAGAACAAAAGAUUUAACAUUUUCAGUUCAUUUUCUUAACUUAAAUCAUUAAAUUUAUCCUAAAUGUAAAAAGACAUUUAUGUAAAAGAAAGACGAUAAGACCCUAUUGAACUUAACUGCAGUUAAACUGGGGCAGUAAAUUAAUUAUCAUUUUAAUAAAAAUUUUUUUAUAAAUAUCUAAUAAAAUUAAAUAAUUCAGUUACCAUAGGGAUAACAGCGUAAUAAUCUUCUAAAGAUCUUAUUUAAAACAUAGAUUACGACCUCGAUGUUGAAUUAAUAACCUAAUUAAGGCAAAACUUAAAAAAGGAAGUCUGUUCGACUUUUAAAAAAUUACAUGAUUUGAGUUCAGACCGGUGUAAGCCAGGUCGGUUUCUAUCUUCUAAAAAAUUUUUUACAGUACGAAAGGACCUAAAAAUCUAAUA
rnacentral:rRNA from 1 species